rnacentral:rRNA from 1 species
AGAACGAACGCUGGCGGCAGGCUUAACACAUGCAAGUCGAACGCGUGUAGCAAUACACGAGUGGCGCACGGGUGAGUAACGCGUGGAUAUCUGCCUUUUGGUUCGGAAUAACCCCGGGAAACUGGGGCUAAUACCGGAUGGUUCCUACGGGAUAAAGAUUUAUCGCCAAAAGAUGAGUCCGCGUACGAUUAGCUAGUUGGUGAGGUAAUGGCUCACCAAGGCGACGAUCGUUAGCUGGUCUGAGAGGACGAUCAGCCACACUGGGACUGAGACACGGCCCAGACUCCUACGGGAGGCAGCAGUGGGGAAUAUUGGACAAUGGGGGCAACCCUGAUCCAGCCAUGCCGCGUGAGUGAUGAAGGCCUUCGGGUUGUAAAGCUCUUUGGCGGGGACGAUGAUGACGGUACCCGCAGAAUAAGCCCCGGCUAACUUCGCGCCAGCAGCCGC